GUGUCAGCAGCCGCGGUAAUACGUAGGGUGCGAGCGUUAAUCGGAAUUACUGGGCGUAAAGCGUGCGCAGGCGGUUUUGUAAGUCAGAUGUGAAAUCCCCGAGCUCAACUUGGGAACUGCGUUUGAAACUACAAGGCUAGAGUAUGGUAGAGGGGGGUAGAAUUCCACGUGUAGCAGUGAAAUGCGUAGAGAUGUGGAGGAAUACCAAUGGCGAAGGCAGCCCCCUGGACUAAUACUGACGCUCAUGCACGAAAGCGUGGGGAGCAAACAGGAUUAGAAACCCCAGUAGUCC
rnacentral:rRNA from 1 species